rnacentral:tRNA from 1 species
GGAGAGAUGGCUCAGCAGUUAAGAGUACUGGCUGUUCUUCCAGAAUUCCUGGGUUCAAUUCCCAGUACACCCA